rfam:Pteropus alecto contig16222, whole genome shotgun sequence.
GGUUCCACAGGGUAGCGGUCAGCACGCCUGCUUCCCACGCAGAAGGUCCUGGGUUCGCGCCCCAGUGGAGCCA